rnacentral:rRNA from 1 species
GGUGAACGCUGGCGGCGUGCUUAAGACAUGCAAGUCGAACGGCAGUCUUCGGACUGUAGUGGCGCACGGGUGAGUAACGCGUAACUGACCUACCCCAAAGUCGCGGAUAACGAUUCGAAAGAAUCGCUAAUACGUGAUGUGCUGUCAGAUUGUGUUCUGCCAGUAAAGAUUGAUUGCUUUGGGAUGGGGUUGCGUUCCAUCAGCUAGUUGGUGGGGUAAAGGCCCACCAAGGCGACGACGGAUAGUCGGCCUGAGAGGGGGGCCGGCCACAGGGGCAAUGAGACACGGGUCCCACACAUGCGGGAGGCAGCAGUUAGGAAUCUUCCACAAUGGGCGAAAGCCUGAUGGAGCGACGCCGCGUGAGGGAUGAAGGUCUUCGGAUCGUAAACCUCUGAAUCAGGGACGAAAGACACUUCGGUGGGAUGACGGUACUUGAGUAAUAGCACCGGCUAACUCCGUGCCAGCAGCCGCGGUAACAC